UACAGAGGGUGCGAGCGUUAAUCGGAAUUACUGGGCGUAAAGCGCACGUAGGCGGCUUGGUAUGUCGGGUGUGAAAUCCCCCGGCUCAACUGGGGAACUGCACAGGAAACUAGCGGGCUUGAGUCCGGGAGAGGGAAGCGGAAUUCCGGGUGUAGCGGUGAAAUGCGUAGAUAUCCGGAGGAACACCGGUGGCGAAGGCGGGUCUCUGGGCAACAACUGACGCUGAGGAGCGAAAGCGUGGGGAGCGAACAGG
rnacentral:rRNA from 1 species